rnacentral:lncRNA from 1 species
UUCUUUCCUUGCUUUCGGGCUCUCAUCCAUGCACUACUCUCUGUCCUCACUUUCCGUCUUUCUCUCAUUCUCUCAUUCUUCUCUUUCUCUCUUUUUUUUCUUUCUUUCUUUUUUCUCUUUCUCUUUUUCUCUCUUUCUCUCUUUCUUUCUUUCUUUCUUUCUUUCUUUCUUUCUUUCUUUCUUUCUUUCUUUCUUUCUUUCUUUCUUUCUUUCUUUCUUUCUUUCUUUCUUUCUUUCUUUCUUUCUUUCUUUCUUUCUUUCUUUCUUUCUUUCAUCAAGAUGCUAUUUUCUUUAUCCCGCUGAAAUCUUUCAUGCUUUCUUUAAUAAAACUGUCCAAAUAUUUCUGAAUAGCU